rnacentral:sRNA from 2 species
CGCCCGUCAAACCAUGGGAGCUGGUAAUGCCCGAAGUCGGUUUUGUUAACUACGGAAACAACCGCCUAAGGCAGGACUGGUGACUGGGGUUAAGUCGUAACAAGGUAUCCCUACGAGAACGUGGGGAUGGAUUACCUCCUUUCUACGGAGUACAUUACCUAUAUUAAUAGGAUACUUAAGACUAUUUUUAUUAAAAUUAUUUGUUACAAUGACACAUGUACUAUGUUAAUAGUCCAUAGAUAUAUCUAGUUUUGAGAGAACUUUCUCUCUAAUUGUUCUUUGAAAACUGAAUAGUAAAGAUAUUACAACGACAUCAAAUAAAAUAAAUAAAUUAAAUUGGUUAAUUUGUUUUGAUUGAUACCGAGUAAUUAUUAUUAAAUAUAAUAAUUUAUUGAAAUGUCUUUGAAUAUACAUCAACAAUAGGUCAUAUAUUGUUACAACUUUUAAAUAAGUAAGAGUUUGUGGUGGAUGCCUUGGGUCUGGAAGUCGAUGAAGGACGUGAUUACCUGCGAUAAGCCUCGUGGAGCUGGAUAUAAGCUACGAAGCGGGGAUUUCCGAAUGGGGAAACCUAACUAGAGUAAUUUCUAGUUGCUAUGUAAUGAAUAAAAUAGUUGCAUUUGCGAGACACGUUGUGAACUGAAACAUCUUAGUAGCAACAGGAAGAGAAAAUAAAUAAUGAUUCCAUUAGUAGCGGCGAGCGAACGUGGAAGAGCCCAAACCGACAUAAGUCGGGGUUGUAGGACUAUCUACACGAAGUUACAAAUCUUUGUUAUAGCAGAAUUAGUUGGGAAACUAAAGCAUAGAGGGUGAAACUCCCGUACGCGAAAUAGCAAAGACUUCUGAUAGUAUCCUGAGUAGGGCGGGGCACGUGAAACCCUGUCUGAAUCUGCCGGGACCAUCCGGUAAGGCUAAAUACUAACCAGACACCGAUAGCGAACUA